rnacentral:rRNA from 1 species
AACGAACGCUGGCGGCAGGCCUAACACAUGCAAGUCGAACGAGACCUUCGGGUCUAGUGGCGCACGGGUGCGUAACGCGUAGGAAUCUACCCUUUGCUACGGAAUAACUCAGAGAAAUUUGUGCUAAUACCGUAUAAUGUCGCAAGACCAAAGAUUUAUCGGCAGAGGACGAGCCCGCGUAGGAUUAGCUUGUUGGUGGGGUAAAAGCCUACCAAGGCGACGAUCCUUAGCUGGUCUGAGAGGAUGAUCAGCCACACUGGGACUGAGACACGGCCCAGACUCCUACGGGAGGCAGCAGUGGGGAAUAUUGGACAAUGGGCGAAAGCCUGAUCCAGCAAUGCCGCGUGAGUGAUGAAGGCCUUAGGGUUGUAAAGCUCUUUUACCAGGGAUGAUAAUGACAGUACCUGGAGAAUAAGCUCCGGCUAACUCCGUGCCAGCCGCCGCAGUAA